CCAUGUAUCAGAUUUGGUUGUUUAGAUACCGCUUGAUCUUCAACACUGAGGUGAUGCUUGUGCAUCAGAUGUUGGAAAGAGCUUAUUAUCUUUUGAAGAAGUAUAGCCGUUCUGAUGCUGCUUGUCAGUCCCUAGUUUCUGAGAUUCUUUUGCUGCUCAUGCAGUGAUCUAGAAAAUUCUUUUGAUUUUCUGAGAGCCUCUAUCCUUGAGAUUUAUCAAGAUUAAUUUUGAUAACAGUGUGAGAGAUGGCAUAGGUAGUAC
rnacentral:lncRNA from 1 species